GAUCAUAUGUAUUACAAGUGGCUGGCUUGUUUUUAACACAAGCAACGUUUUUUAAAUCAUUAUCUUAAAGAGAUUAAGGCUCAUUUUAGACUACACUUACAUUACUUUACAACUGCUUAAUGCAGUACUGAUGUAUCUAGUAGUUAGUGGGUUUAACUAAUGUCACAUCUGUUUUUAUUCAUUUUAGAUGCAGAAACUUUUGACAUAUGAAUUCAUCUUGACUAAGGAACUCUUCACAGCACUGCAUCUGAACAGUCACAACCUCACAGAGCUGCACAACUGCCCCACUCAGAUCAGCGUUGAAGCUGGAACCUCAUCUUGUGUACAGCAAAGGCAGAGCUGAAAAUUCACUGUUUGUCUUGUAUUGUGUGUGGCAAAAUCUGGAAUAACACAUGGGAGCCCUCCAGGAAUUCCUGACACUUUACGCCCAAGUCUCCUCAUGCUAACCGGAUUGCAAUAUGACAGUCUAGUCACAUAAACACCUGGACUGACCAAGCACACUUUGGUUCUCAGUGUUUUGUACAAAUUGUUUUUGCUUUUCUUCAGUAAAUACUUGAAUAUGUUUUGAACUUAUUCUACUUUUGAUGUUUAAGUUCAGAAAGUUGUUAUUAUAAACAUAAUUUGCAUUUGUCA